rnacentral:rRNA from 1 species
GAUCCUCUCAGGAUGAACGCUAGCGACAGGCCUAACACAUGCAAGUCGAGGGGCAGCGGAGAGGUAGCAAUACCUUUGCCGGCGACCGGCGCACGGGUGAGUAACACGUAUGCAAUCCACCUGUAACAGGGGGAUAACCCGGAGAAAUCCGGACUAAUACCCCAUAAUAUGGGCGCUCCGCAUGGAGAGCCCAUUAAAGAGAGCAAUUUUGGUUACAGACGAGCAUGCGCUCCAUUAG